rnacentral:rRNA from 1 species
UACGUAGGGUCCAAGCGUUGUCCGGAUUUAUUGGGCGUAAAGAGCUCGUAGGCGGUUCCGUAAGUCGGAUGUGAAAACUCAGGGCUCAACCCGGAGACGCCAUCUGAUACUGCGGUGACUGGAGUCUGGUAGGGGAUCACGGAAUACCUGGUGUAGCGGUGAAAUGCGUAGAGAUGUGGAGGAACACCAGUGGCGAAGGCGGCAUCCUGGACCGACACUGACGCUGAGGAGCGAAAGCCAGGGGAGCAAACGGG